rnacentral:rRNA from 1 species
GAUGAACGCUGGCGGCGUGCCUAAUACAUGCAAGUCGAGCGAACAGACGAGGAGCUUGCUCCUCUGACGUUAGCGGCGGACGGGUGAGUAACACGUGGAUAACCUACCUAUAAGACUGGGAUAACUUCGGGAAACCGGAGCUAAUACCGGAUAAUAUAUUGAACCGCAUGGUUCAAUAGUGAAAGACGGUUUUGCUGUCACUUAUAGAUGGAUCCGCGCCGCAUUAGCUAGUUGGUAAGGUAACGGCUUACCAAGGCAACGAUGCGUAGCCGACCUGAGAGGGUGAUCGGCCACACUGGAACUGAGACACGGUCCAGACUCCUACGGGAGGCAGCAGUAGGGAAUCUUCCGCAAUGGGCGAAAGCCUGACGGAGCAACGCCGCGUGAGUGAUGAAGGUCUUCGGAUCGUAAAACUCUGUUAUUAGGGAAGAACAAAUGUGUAAGUAACUGUGCACAUCUUGACGGUGCCUAAUCAGAAAGCCACGGCUAACUACGUG